UGGAAGAUGGUGGCGAUGACACAGAUCUACCGUUUGGUGGCCGGAUCUACCGUUUGAAGUUGCACUUUGUGGGUGUUCAAAUUAAAGACACUCCCAAUGUAAGUUUUAUUUUUAUUUUAGUGUUUUUUUUUGCUAUUGUCGUUAUCAAGUUGUCAUAUGUGUUUAUAAAAGUUUAAUGAUUUGACCUAAAUUAUAUAAAUUCACGCGUUUAUGUUUUUUUCUAAUACUUGAUUUCUGAAAUGCAUUUUAUGAUGGUUGACUUUGCGAGAACUAACGGAGCAUUAGUGUCAAAGUACUGGAAAGAGGUUGGGCGUCGAUCUUACGAUUUUAGCCUGGGGUAACAAGAGCAGAAGAUGGAAGCUGUGGAGGAGCCCGUCAGCCGGGUGUUCGUCUUCUUCUUCGACGAGUUCAUCUUCUAAGGCGAUGAAAGGCGUGGGACGGUUGUCGACUUCGGAUGCGUCACGUUCGGAUGAGGUUUCGUUUUCGGCUGCUGUGGCUACUGUGGUUAGAGCUCCGCCUAAAGAUUUCUUGUUUGUUAGGCAAGAAUGGGCUGCGAUUCGAAUUCAGUCGGUUUUUCGCUCUUUUUUGACAAAAAUGGAUGCCAAAAUAACUGGUUGUUCCGGUGGGCCCACAGCAGGGAAGUACAAUCUACAGCUGAAAAAGCAACAUUUUACUACUGUGUGAAAGACAGCUUGCUUGCUGCAGUCUCUAUAAUGUAUCAACACUCUACAAACACUGUUUGAAAGACAGCAUGCUUGCUUCAGUCUCUAUAAAUAAUUCAGAUGUAUCAACACUCUACAAACACUUUACAAACCCUCAACUACACUCAACUGAAAUUAAUAUAUCGACUCUUUGCAUCUGGAUCUUGCGUUGUUUCUCGGCUCUCACAUCAAGGUUUUAAAUUUUUU